GAUGAACGCUGGCGGCGUGCCUAAUACAUGCAAGUCGAACGAAGAUCUUAGGGAAUAAGCUUGCUUAGGAAUUUUGAUCUUAGUGGCGGACUGGUGAGUAACACGUGAGCAACCUGGCUUUCAGAGGGGGACAACGGUUGGAAACGACCGCUAAUACCGCAUGACAUAGUUUUAAGGCAUCUUGAAACUAUCAAAGGAGCAAUCCGCUGAAAGAUGGGCUCGCGUCUGAUUAGAUAGUUGGUGAGGUAACGGCUCACCAAGUCGACGAUCAGUAGCCGGACUGAGAGGUUGAACGGCCACAUUGGGACUGAGAUACGGCCCAGACUCCUACGGGAGGCAGCAGUAGGGAAUAUUGCACAAUGGAGGAAACUCUGAUGCAGCAACGCCGCGUGAAGGAAGACGGUUUUCGGAUUGUAAACUUCUUUUCCCAAAGAAGAAAAAAUGACGGUAUUUGGGGAAUAAGCAUCGGCUAACUACGUGCCAGCAGCCGCGGUAAUACGUAGGAUGCAAGCGUUAUCCGGAUUUACUGGGUGUAAAGGGUGCGUAGGCGGACUUUCAAGUUGGAUGUGAAAACCCGGGGCUUAACCCCGUGAUUGCAUCCAAAACUGUAGGUCUUGAUUGGAGUAGAGGUAAGUGGAAUUCCGAGUGUAGCGGUGAAAUGCGCAGAUAUUCGGAAGAACACCGGUGGCGAAGGCGACUUACUGGGCUCUAAAUGACGCUGAGGCACGAAAGUGUGGGGAGCAAACAGGAUUAGAUACCCUGGUAGUCCACACUGUAAACGAUGAUAGCUAGGUGUAGGGGGUCUGACCCCCUCUGUGCCGGAGUUAACGCAAUAAGCUAUCCACCUGGGGAGUACGAUCGCAAGAUUGAAACUCAAAGGAAUUGACGGGGACCCGCACAAGCAGUGGAUUAUGUGGUUUAAUUCGAAGCAACGCGAAGAACCUUACCGAGUCUUGACAUUUGACUAACGAAGCAGAGAUGCAUUAGGUGCCCUUCGGGGAAAGUUAAAACAGGUGGUGCAUGGUUGUCGUCAGCUCGUGCCGUGAGGUGUUGGCUUAAGUGCCGCAACGAGCGCAACCCCUGCCAUUAGUUGCUACGCAAGAGCACUCUAAUGGGACCGCCGAUGACAAAUCGGAGGAAGGUGGGGAUGACGUCAAAUCAUCAUGCCCCUUAUGACUCGGGCCACACACGUAAUACAAUGGUCGUUAACAGAGGGAAGCAAGGGAGCGAUCCGGAGCCAAACCCUAAAAACGAUCUCAGUUCGGACUGUAGGCUGAAACUCGCCUGCACGAAGUUGGAAUUGCUAGUAAUCGCGGAUCAGCAUGCCGCGGUGAAUACGUUCCCGGGUCUUGUACACACCGCCCGUCACACCAUGGGAGUUUGUAACACCCGAAGUCGGUGACCCAACAGUAAUGAGGGAGCCGCCGAAGGUGGGAUAAGCGACUGGGGUG
rnacentral:rRNA from 1 species